UGGGGAAUCUUGCACAAUGGGGGAAACCCUGAUGCAGCGACGCCGCGUGAGCGAUGAAGCCCUUCGGGGUGUAAAGCUCUUUCGGCAGGAACGAUUAUGACGGUACCUGCGGAAGAAGCUGCGGCUAACUACGUGCCAGCAGCCGCGGUAAUACGUAGGCAGCAAGCGUUGUUCGGAGUUACUGGGCGUAAAGGGUGUGCAGGCGGUGUCCUAAGUUCGGUGUGAAAUCUCCCGGCUCAACUGGGAGGGUGCGCCGAAAACUGGGAUGCUCGAGCGCGGGAGAGGAAAGUGGAAUUCCUGGUGUAGCGGUGAAAUGCGUAGAUAUCAGGAGGAACACCGGUGGUGAAGACGGCUUUCUGGACCGCUGCUGACGCUGAAACACGAAAGCGUGGGGAGCAAACAGG
rnacentral:rRNA from 1 species